rnacentral:rRNA from 1 species
CCUACGGGUGGCAGCAGUCGAGAAUCAUUCACAAUGGGGGAAACCCUGAUGGUGCGACGCCGCGUGGGGGAAUGAAGGUCUUCGGAUUGUAAACCCCUGUCAUGUGGGAGCAAAUUAAAAAGAUAGUACCACAAGAGGAAGAGACGGCUAACUCUGUGCCAGCAGCCUCGGUAAUACAGAGGUCUCGAGCUUUGUUCGGAAUCACUGGGCGUAAAGCGUGCGUAGGCUGUUUCGUAAGUCGUGUGUGAAAGGCGCGGGCUCAACCCGCGAACGGCACAUGAUACUGCGAGACUAGAGUGAUGGAGGGGGAACUGGAAUUCUAGGUGUAGCAGUGAAAUGCGUAGAUAUCGAGAGGAACACUCGUGGCGAAGGCGGGUACCUGGACAAUAACUGACGCUGAGGCACGAAGGCCAGGGGAGCGAAAGGGAUUAGAUACCCUAGUAGUC